rnacentral:tRNA from 1 species
GGGGGUGUGGCUCUGGGGUAGAGUGCUCGCCUAGCAUGUGUGAGGCACUGGGUUUGAUUCUCAGCACCACAU